rnacentral:rRNA from 1 species
UACGUAGGGGGCAAGCGUUGUCCGGAUUUAUUGGGCGUAAAGAGCGUGUAGGCGGUCUGGUAGGUCCGUUGUGAAAAUUCGAGGCUCAACCUCGAGACGCCGAUGGAAACCAUCAGACUAGAGUCCGGAAGAGGAGAGUGGAAUUCCUGGUGUAGCGGUGAAAUGCGCAGAUAUCAGGAAGAACACCCGUGGCGAAGGCGGCUCUCUAGUACGGUACUGACGCUGAGACGCGAAAGCGUGGGGAGCGAACAGG